UACGUAGGUCCCGAGCGUUGUCCGGAUUUAUUGGGCGUAAAGCGAGCGCAGGUGGUUUAUUAAGUCUGGUGUAAAAGGCAGUGGCUCAACCAUUGUAUGCAUUGGAAACUGGUAGACUUGAGUGCAGGAGAGGAGAGUGGAAUUCCAUGUGUAGCGGUGAAAUGCGUAGAUAUAUGGAGGAACACCGGUGGCGAAAGCGGCUCUCUGGCCUGUAACUGACACUGAGGCUCGAAAGCGCGGGGAGCAAACAGG
rnacentral:rRNA from 1 species